GAAAUGCGAUAAGUAAUGUGAAUUGCAGAAUUCAGUGAAUCAUCGAAUCUUUGAACGCAUCUUGCGCUCCUUGGUAUUCCUUGGAGCAUGCCUGUUUGAGUAUCAUGAAAUCUUCAAAGUAAAUCUUUUGUUAACUCAAUUGGUUUCUACUUUGGUAUUGGAGGUCUUUGCAGCUUCACACCUGCUCCUCUUUGUUCAUUAGCUGGAUCUCAGUGUUAUGCUUGGUUCCACUCGGCGUGAUAAGUUAUCUAUCGCUGAGGACACUGUAAAAGGUGGCCAAGGUAAAUGCAGAUGAACCGCUUCUAAUAGUCCAUUGACUUGGACAAUACUUUUAUGAUCUGAUCUCAAAUCAGGUAGGACUACCCGCUGAACUUAAGCA
rnacentral:misc_RNA from 1 species